GCCUCCUGUGGCGCAAUGGGCCAGUAGGUCUGGCUGUUAACCAGAAGGUUGGUGGUUCAAGCAUACCUAGAGACC